CCGGCCUUAGCUUAGUUGGUAGAGCAUCAGACUGUAGUGGUUCGAACCGGUCCAACCGGCUAGAAAACAAUGUAAUCUGAGGGUCUCCGGUUCGACUCCGGAAGGCCGGA